AGUGAACGCUGGCGGUAGGCCUAACACAUGCAAGUCGAACGGCAGCACAGUAAGAGCUUGCUCUUACGGGUGGCGAGUGGCGGACGGGUGAGGAAUACAUCGGAAUCUACUUUUUCGUGGGUGAUAACGUAGGGAAACUUACGCUACUACCGCAUACGACCUACGGGUGAAGGCAGGGGAUCUUCGGACCUUGCGCGAUUGAAUGAGCCGAUGUCGGAUUAGCUAGUUGGCGGGGUAAAGGCCCACCAAGGCGACGAUCCGUAGCUGGUCUGAGAGGAUGAUCAGCCACACUGGAACUGAGACACGGUCCAGAUUCCUACGGGAGGCAGCAGUGGGGAAUAUUGGACAAUGGGCGCAAGCCUGAUCCAGCCAUACCGCGUGGGUGAAGAAGGCCUUCGGGUUGUAAAGCCCUUUUGUUGGGAAAGAAAAGCAGCAGGUUAAUACCCCGCUGUUCUGACGGUACCCAAAGAAUAAGCACCGGCUAACUUCGUG
rnacentral:rRNA from 1 species